GCUUGCUUCUCUGAUAGCGUUAGCGGCGGACGGGUGAGUAACACGUAGGCAACCUGCCCUCAAGUUUGGGACAACUACCGGAAACGGUAGCUAAUACCGAAUAAUUGUUUUCUUCGCCUGAAGGAAACUGGAAAGACGGAGCAAUCUGUCACUUGGGGAUGGGCCUGCGGCGCAUUAGCUAGUUGGUGGGGUAACGGCUCACCAAGGCGACGAUGCGUAGCCGACCUGAGAGGGUGAUCGGCCACACUGGGACUGAGACACGGCCCAGACUCCUACGGGAGGCAGCAGUAGGGAAUCUUCCGCAAUGGGCGAAAGCCUGACGGAGCAAUGCCGCGUGAGUGAUGAAGGUUUUCGGAUCGUAAAGCUCUGUUGCCAGGGAAGAA
rnacentral:rRNA from 1 species